AGGGAAAUCUGCAUCGGGAAAGCGGCGGUUUACGCAGCAGCCCGGCUGAACACCGCGAGCCAAGGGGCUGGGGGGCGGGGACGGUGCCCACCCCCCAGGCCCCCACUCUUCCCCCAGGCGCCCACCGCCGCGGACCCCGGGAGGGAGGAGGGGUCCGGGGAAAGCGACCCCAGCUCCUUCCUCCCAAGGCGAGUAUGUUUACCCUGCUGGGCACCCUUCCGCUCCGCGGGGACCACUGCGGGAUCGCGCUCUCUAAAACUCCUCUCAACUGCCCCGCAGUGCGCGGCGGCCUUUUCCGCCAGGUUUUUUGGGGAGGGGGAAGGGGAGGACAGAGUGCUUCCCCUUCGAAAAAAUUCCAAGGGAUGUUUUUGAGGGUAGGGGUGAAGUAUCUUAUUUUAGAGGCAAAUACAAAUCGGUCCGCAGAAGCCGGGGUCUUCUGGGUGGUUGGUUGGGGGUGAGCUCCCUGUACCCCGAUGCCCAUGUGGGGGCCCCAGGCUUUAGGGAACCUGCGAAAAGGCCUCUUUCUUUCCUCCUAUGGUAUUCACAGACAGCCACAGGAAGAGCCUUCCGUGCGUGGGCGGGGGUUGGAGAGGGUUCAUUCUUAAACUUUCUUUCCCAGGUCUACCCCUACCCUAGGGCCCCACUUCGGGAACAAAUUCCGUGAGAAUAAAAUCAUAGCUAGGCUGGCCUACUUCCCUAAAGCUUGGUGGAAGCGAGUAACUUUAUUGAGUCUGGGCUAGAGGGUGUGUGUGUGUUUGUGUGUGUGUGCGUGCGUGUGUGGUGUUUGUUUACAUAUGUGUGUGGGAUUUGGCGAGUGAGCUUCGUGCACGGCAUUUUUCACCCUCUGGAAGAAGCCAGAUUUCGGGCAAGGUAGAACGUGAGAAGAAUCCCUUUUAUACUGGCUCCUACGAAAGGAACCAGAAAAAAAAAUAAUACACAUUUUGAGCAGCCUCUGUGGGUGCAGCUUGUUGAACUCGGAGCCAGACGCUUUUUCUGGCGAAACGGAGAAAAAACGCCGCGGAAACGGUGCGCAGGGUUGGGGAGUAUAGGUUCUGAUUGCAACAUAAUUCCGCAAGCUUUUUUAUUUUUUAUUUUUCCCGGGACGCGGUUGCGUCGGAAGAAACGCUUUCUAAUCUUUCUAGCUCCCUGGAUUUGAAGUUGCGGGUCUUGGGGCGAGGCUUAGCUGGUCUGGGGGUCCUUGCGUGUCCACAGCCCCGGAUACGCACCCGCGAAACGUUCGACAUCGCCGCUUUUUUGUUUUGUUUUGCUUUGUUUUUUUAGUCGAAGGCGAGGCGUUGUUUGGGGACAGAUCGCGGCCGGCUGGGGCCUCGGGCAGUGACAGUGAAACGAAUUCCAAACCCAUUCUGAACUCGCCAUGGCGCUCUCCUGCCCUCCAACACCCACCCCAAACACCGUGUAGGCAGAAGCGAGGUUCCCCGUGAAGCCGGGUUAAAAUCGGCAGCUGAGAUGCGGUGGGAUGGGAUCAUAGCCGAGUUCGGAGGAUGCGGGGAGAGAAUAGAAAAAUCUCCAUCGUUCUGCUCUGCUCUCUUUCUUUCUCCUCUAAGCAGGUUUGCCGGAGAAGGCAGGGGUGAGCCACGGUGGCUGCCCGGCUGUGCACCGGCGCCGGAGUUUGGACCAAGACAAAGACAGGAGCUGUCCGCGGUGCUGAAUCGGCGGCGCCGUCGCCGGAGCAAGGGGGCUUCUGUAACCAGCCCUCUGCUCAUUUACUCCCCAUCCUUCUAGCUCCCCUUCGCUCUGUGACUCUUGCCUUCCCCUGAAUUUAUUUCCCUUUUGGGGGACUCACCUUAGAACCUGCGCCCUGUACACAGGUGUAUAUACAUAUAUCAAAGAACAAAACGAUUGAUUGAAAACGGUGUCUUCUCCUUUCUUCCCAAAUAAAUGAUGUUAGAAAGGUUUAUUUUAACUGUACCCUAAAACGGAGAGAAAUGGAUAUUUCUACUCCUAAAUAAAUGGAAAUUCAUGUUAAAAACAAUAGAGCUAACCUAUAACAAA
rnacentral:lncRNA from 1 species